rnacentral:lncRNA from 1 species
UGAUAUAUAGCAUAUUAUAAACGUAAGAACAAACAUUUUUAUUUUUUUAAGCUCGCAUAUUAUUAUGUUAGAACAGAAUCAAGCGGUUUUUAAAUAGAUUUUGAGACAGAAAAACAUUGAGCCCACAAUUCAUCUCUUUUCUGUAAAUAUUUGGUUUCGUUUGCGAUUAAGGUAGGUCUAUCAGCGAUAUAUUUGAUAAGGGUAUCGUGACACUCCUUUCCUUCUUUAACAAGUUCCUGACAGCAAGGAAUGGAGACAACUCCAUUUCCAAAAACUUGACCAAUGAUAUCCAAUGCACACUUUGGGCUGAUUUUAACAACACAUUGAUCCCAUAACUUCUUUGGCUCGGUUUCUUCUACGGCAAAUGAAGGGACAUAUGCACUCGUCACAACUAGGAUAAGAAAAAACAUCAUGGUAAUGCUAAGUCUCGCCAUCUUUGAUUAAGUAUAUGCUCUAUGAGGAUUUAGUGUUUUGUCUCAAGUGAGAGAUAGGAAAUAACUCCAAGUUUGUGUUGUUCUUUGAAUCGAAGAUGCUAACUCUAUUUAUAGAUACAAAUAAUUAAAACGAAACAUCUAUCUUGAUAAAUCAAAUGACGUUUUUUUGUUUAUUAACAUUUGUUAAGUUACAUUUAUCUUGCUGAACUUAUUGCUUUCUUUAACUUUUGAUUUUUUAUGAAUCCGUAAUAAUUUAUAUCCAAAUCGAAACAGAAAUCAAAAAUUUAAGUACGUAAUCAUCACGUAUAUGUAUAGAUAAAGUAUGGCUUGUAAAAAUAAAAAUUUAUGGCUUUUAAAAAUAUUAAGUUAUGGCUUGUAAAAAUAGAAAGUCGAUAUCGAAACCGGAAACGUCAUGCCUCUCGCGGUAACAAAACUAUCUUUUAUUAUUAUGGUUACAAAGUAUACAUGAGUAAUGUUCAAUAUUUGAAAUGUGGAUUUUUUAAAAACUUUCAAAUAAUUUUAUCCAAAAAAAAAUAUUUUGUGUCUUGAUGCACAUUAAUGUUUUUGGUAGUUGAUCCGGAAAAACACAUGAUCCGGAGUUCAUUAAUAUUAGUAAUGGUUGAUUUAAUGGACUAAUAAUAUAAUGAACAAAUAUGGCAGCUUACAACGGACACAUGGUGUUCGUCAGGAGGUUUAACUAGUAAACGGGACUUUGGUUAGUACCGGAGGGUUUGAAGGAGGAGCAAACACGGCGAAAUACCUUGUCAACUGUGAAAACUGUGUAUGGAAGGAAUAUCCCAAAGCAUUGGCUGCUAGGAGAUGGUACUCAACACAAGCCACUCUCCCUGCUGGUACUUUCAUCGUAGUUGGAGGCCGAGACGCUCUCAACUACGAAUAUAUCCUCCCGGAAGAAAUGAACAACAAAAAACUCUACGACUCUCAACUUCUUAGAUAAACAGACGAUCUAGAGAAAAAACAAUCUAUACCCUUUUGUUUGGCUAAACACUGAUGGUGACCUCUUCAUUUUCGCCAACAACCGUUCCAAACUUCUUAGCCCGAAAACAAAUAAAGCGCUGGUUAAAGAAAUCACGGUGGCGAUGCAUUCUUCAGGUAAAUCAAGAAGAUUUAUUUCCGCUUUUUUUCAAAGAAAAAAAAACAAACACACACACAAUUGACUUUUAAAAGUUCAAAUACAAGAUUGUAGACGGUGAUGAUAAUGCGCGUGUAAUGACCCGCUCAACUCUUUUAUUGUUUGUCGCUCACGUCAAAGGCUUAAUACCGUGUGAAACAAUGCUACUAUAUUAAAGUAUGUAAUAAUAUUAAAGCCUCACAUUGAUAUAUAGCAUAUUAUAAACGUAAGAACAAACAUUUUUAUUUCUUUAAGCUCACAUAUUAUUAUGUUGGAACAGAAUCAAGCGGUUUUCAAUGAAUAUUGAGACAGAAACACAUUGAGCCCACAAUUCAUCUCUUUUCUGUAAAUAUUUGGUUUCGUUUGCGAUUAAGGUAGGUCUAUUAGCGAUAUAUUUGAUAAGGGUAUCGUGACACUCCUUUCCUUCUUUAACAAGUUCCUGACAGCAAGGAAUGGAGACAACUCCAUUUCCAAAAACUUGACUAAUGAUAUCCAUUGCACACUUUGGGCUGAUUUUAACAACACAUUGAUCCCAUAACUUCUUUGGCUCGGUUUCUUCUACGGCAAAUGAAGGGACAUAUCCACUCGUUACAACUAGGACAAGAAAAAACACCAUGGUAAUGCUAAGUCUCGCCAUCUUUGAUUAAGUAUAUGCUCUAUGAGGAUUUAGUGUUUUGUCUCAAGUGAGAGAUAGGAAAUAACUCCAAGUUUGUGUUGUUCUUCGAAUCGAAGAUGCUAACUCUAUUUAUAGAUACAAAUAAUUAAAACGAAACAUCUAUCUUGAUAAAUCAAAUGACGUUUUUUUGUUUAUUAACAUUUGUUAAGUUACAUUUAUCUUGCUGAACUUAUUGCUUUCUUUAACUUUUGAUUUUUUAUGAAUCUGUAAUAAUUUAUAUCCAAAUCGAAACAGAAAUCAAAACUUUAAGUACGUAAUCAUCACGUAUAUGUAUAGAUAAAGUAUGGCUUGUAAAAAUAAAAAUUUAUGGCUUUUAAAAAUAUAAAGUUAUGGCUUGUAAAAUUAGAAAGUCGAUAUCGAAAGCGGAAACGUCAUGCCUCUCGCAGUAACAAAACUAUCUUUUAUUAUUAUGGUUACAAAAUAUAUAUGAGUAAUGUUCAAUAUUUGAAAUGUGGAUUUUUUAAAAACUUUCAACUAAUUUUAUCCAAAAAAAAAUAUUUUUUGUUUUGAUGCACAUUAAUGUUUUUGGUAGUUGAUCCGGAUCAUGUGCAAAAAAACACAUGAUCCGGAGUUCAUUAAUAAUAGUAAUGGUUGAUUUGAUGGACUAAUAAUAUAAUGAACAAAUAUGGCAGCUUACAACGGCCACAUGGUGUUCGUCAGGAGGUUUAACUAGUAAACGGGACUUUGGUUAGUACCGGAGGGUUUGAAGGAGGAGCAAACACGGCGAAAUACCUUGUCAACUGUGAAAACUGUGUAUGGAAAGAAUAUCCCAAAGCAUUGGCUGCUAGGAGAUGGUACUCAACACAAGCCACUCUCCCUGCUGGCACUUUCAUCGUAGUUGGAGGCCGAGACGCUCUCAACUACGAAUAUAUCCUCCCGGAAGAAAUGAACAACAAAAAACUCUACGACUCUCAACUUCUUAGACAAAUCGACAAUCUAGAGAAAAACAAAUAAAGCGCUGGUUAAAGAAAUCACGGUGGCAAUGCAUUCUUCAGGUAAAUCAAGAAGAUUUAUUUCCGCUUUUUUCAAAGAAAAAAAAACAAACACACACACAAUUGACUUUUAAAAGUUCAAAUACAAGAUUGUAGACGGUGAUGAUAAUGCGCGUAUAAUGACCCGCUCAACUCUUUUAUUGUUUUUCGCUCACGUCAAAGGCUUAAUAACGUGUGAAACAAUGCUACUAUAUUAAAGUAUGUAAUAAUAUUAAAGCCUCACAUUGAUAUAUGGCAUAUUAUAAACGUAAGAACAAACAUUUUUAUUUCUUUAAGCUCACAUAUUUUUAUGUUGGAAUAGAAUCAAGCGGUUUUAAAUGGAUUUUGAGACAGAAACACAUUGAGCCCACAAUUCAUCUCUUUUCUGUAAAUAUUUGGUUUCGUUUGCGAUUAAGGUAGGUCUAUCAGCGAUGUAUUUGAUAAGGGUAUCGUGACACUCUUUUCCUUCUUUAACAAGUUCCUGACAGCAAGGAAUGGAGACAACUCCAUUUCCAAAAACUUGACUAAUGAUAUCCAAUGCACACUUUGGGCUGAUUUUAACAACACAAUGAUCCCAUAACUUCUUUGGCUCGGUUUCUUCUACGGCAAAUGAAGGGACAUAUCCACUCGUCACAACUAAGACAAGAAAAAACACCAUGGUAAUGCUAAGUCUCGCCAUCUUUGAUUAAGUAUAUGCUCUAUGAGGAUUUAGUGUUUUGUCUCAAGUGAGAGAUAGGAAAUAACUCCAAG